GACGAACGCUGGCGGCGUGCCUAAUACAUGCAAGUAGAACGCACAGUUUAUACCGUAGCUUGCUACACCAUAAACUGUGAGUUGCGAACGGGUGAGUAACGCGUAGGUAACCUGCCUGGUAGCGGGGGAUAACUAUUGGAAACGAUAGCUAAUACCGCAUAAUAUUGAUUAUUGCAUGAUAAUUGAUUGAAAGAUGCUAUUGCAUCACUACCAGAUGGACCUGCGUUGUAUUAGCUAGUAGGUGAGGUAACGGCUCACCUAGGCGACGAUACAUAGCCGACCUGAGAGGGUGAUCGGCCACACUGGGACUGAGACACGGCCCAGACUCCUACGGGAGGCAGCAGUAGGGAAUCUUCGGCAAUGGACGAAAGUCUGACCGAGCAACGCCGCGUGAGUGAAGAAGGUUUUUGGAUCGUAAAGCUCUGUUGUAAGAGAAGAACGGGUGUGAGAGUGGAAAGUUCACACUGUGACGGUAUCUUACCAGAAAGGGACGGCUAACUACGUG
rnacentral:rRNA from 1 species